ensembl:snRNA U6 U6 spliceosomal RNA
GUGCUUGCUUCGGCGGCACAUAUACUAAAAUUGGAACGCUACAGAGAAGAUUAGCAUGGCGCCCGCACGAGGAUGACAUGCAAAUCUGUGAAGCUUUCCAUUUUUAA